CUUCAGAUUAUACUAAAAGGCUACAUUAACCAAAGCAGCAUGACACUGGUACAAAAACAGACACAUAGACAAAUGGAACAGAAUAGAGAGCCCAGAAAUAAGUCUGCAUAUCCACAACUAUCAGAUCUUCUACAAUCCUGACAA